CGGUAGGCUUAACACAUGCAAGUCGUGCGAGAAAGUAUCUUCGGAUAUGAGUAGAGCGGCGGACGGGUGAGUAACGCGUAGGAAUCUACCUAGUAGAAGGGGAUAGCCCGGGGAAACCCGGAUUAAUACCGUAUACCUCCUUCGGGAGAAAGAAGGCCUCUCUUUGAAGCUUUCGCUAUUAGAUGAGCCUGCGUAAGAUUAGCUUGUUGGUGAGGUAAAGGCUCACCAAGGCGACGAUCUUUAGCUGGUCUGAGAGGACGAUCAGCCACAUUGGGACUGAGACACGGCCCAGACUCCUACGGGAGGCAGCAGUGGGGAAUAUUGGACAAUGGGCGCAAGCCUGAUCCAGCCAUACCGCGUGUGUGAAGAAGGCCUUCGGGUUGUAAAGCACUUUAAGCAGGGAGAAAAAGUUAUAAGUUAAUACCUUAUAACCGUGAUGUUACCUGCAGAAUAAGCACCGGCUAAUUCCGUGCCAGCAGCCGCGGUAAUACGGAAGGUGCAAGCGUUAAUCGGAAUUACUGGGCGUAAAGCGCGCGUAGGUGGUUUGUUAAGUUGGAUGUGAAAGCCCUGGGCUCAACCUAGGAACUGCAUCCAAAACUAACUCACUAGAGUACGAUAGAGGGAGGUAGAAUUCAUAGUGUAGCGGUGGAAUGCGUAGAUAUUAUGAAGAAUACCAGUGG
rnacentral:rRNA from 1 species